rnacentral:rRNA from 1 species
GGUUAAGUUAGAAAGGGCGCACGGUGGAUGCCUUGACACUAGGAGUCGAUGAAGGACGGGACUAACGCCGAUAUGCUUCGGGGAGCUGUAAGUAAGCUUUGAUCCGAAGAUUUCCGAAUGGGGAAACCCACCAUACGUAAUGGUAUGGUAUCCUUAUCUGAAUACAUAGGGUAAGGAAGACAGACCCAGGGAACUGAAACAUCUAAGUACCUGGAGGAAGAGAAAGCAAAUGCGAUUUCCUGAGUAGCGGCGAGCGAAACGGAACAUAGCCCAAACCAAGAGGCUUGCCUCUUGGGGUUGUAGGACAUUCUAUACGGAGUUACAAAGGAACGAGGUAGACGAAGCGACCUGGAAAGGUCCGUCGUAGAGGGUAACAACCCCGUAGUCGAAACUUCGUUCUCUCUUGAAUGUAUCCUGAGUACGGCGGAACACGUGAAAUUCCGUCGGAAUCUGGGAGGACCAUCUCCCAAGGCUAAAUACUCCCUAGUGAUCGAUAGUGAACCAGUACCGUGAGGGAAAGGUGAAAAGCACCCCGGAAGGGGAGUGAAAGAGAUCCUGAAACCGUGUGCCUACAAAUAGUCAGAGCCCGUUAACGGGUGAUGGCGUGCCUUUUGUAGAAUGAACCGGCGAGUUACGAUCCCGUGCGAGGUUAAGCUGAAGAGGCGGAGCCGCAGCGAAAGCGAGUCUGAAUAGGGCGUUUAGUACGUGGUCGUAGACCCGAAACCAGGUGAUCUACCCAUGUCCAGGGUGAAGUUCAGGUAACACUGAAUGGAGGCCCGAACCCACGCACGUUGAAAAGUGCGGGGAUGAGGUGUGGGUAGCGGAGAAAUUCCAAUCGAACCUGGAGAUAGCUGGUUCUCCCCGAAAUAGCUUUAGGGCUAGCCUUAAGUGUAAGAGUCUUGGAGGUAGAGCACUGAUUGGACUAGGGGUCCUCAUCGGAUUACCGAAUUCAGUCAAACUCCGAAUGCCAAUGACUUAUCCUUAGGAGUCAGACUGCGAGUGAUAAGAUCCGUAGUCAAAAGGGAAACAGCCCAGACCGCCAGCUAAGGUCCCAAAGUGUGUAUUAAGUGGAAAAGGAUGUGGAGUUGCUUAGACAACUAGGAUGUUGGCUUAGAAGCAGCCACCAUUUAAAGAGUGCGUAAUAGCUCACUAGUCGAGUGACUCUGCGCCGAAAAUGUACCGGGGCUAAAUACACCACCGAAGCUGCGGAUUGAUACCAAUGGUAUCAGUGGUAGGGGAGCGUUCUAAGGACAGUGAAGUCAGACCGGAAGGACUGGUGGAGUGCUUAGAAGUGAGAAUGCCGGUAUGAGUAGCGAAAGACGGGUGAGAAUCCCGUCCACCGAAUGCCUAAGGUUUCCUGAGGAAGGCUCGUCCGCUCAGGGUUAGUCAGGACCUAAGCCGAGGCCGACAGGCGUAGGCGAUGGACAACAGGUUGAUAUUCCUGUACCACCUCUUUAUCGUUUGAGCAAUGGAGGGACGCAGAAGGAUAGAAGAAGCGUGCGAUUGGUUGUGCACGUCCAAGCAGUUAGGCUGAUAAGUAGGCAAAUCCGCUUAUCGUAAAGGCUGAGCUGUGAUGGGGAAGCUCCUUAUGGAGCGAAGUCUUUGAUUCCCCGCUGCCAAGAAAAGCUUCUAGCGAGAUAAAAGGUGCCUGUACCGCAAACCGACACAGGUAGGCGAGGAGAGAAUCCUAAGGUGUGCGAGAGAACUCUGGUUAAGGAACUCGGCAAAAUGACCCCGUAACUUCGGGAGAAGGGGUGCUUUCUUAACGGAAAGCCGCAGUGAAUAGGCCCAAGCGACUGUUUAGCAAAACACAGCUCUCUGCGAAGCCGUAAGGCGAAGUAUAGGGGGUGACACCUGCCCGGUGCUGGAAGGUUAAGGAGAGGGGUUAGCGUAAGCGAAGCUCUGAACUGAAGCCCCAGUAAACGGCGGCCGUAACUAUAACGGUCCUAAGGUAGCGAAAUUCCUUGUCGGGUAAGUUCCGACCCGCACGAAAGGUGUAACGAUUUGGGCACUGUCUCAACCAGAGACUCGGUGAAAUUAUAGUACCUGUGAAGAUGCAGGUUACCCGCGACAGGACGGAAAGACCCCGUGGAGCUUUACUGUAGCCUGAUAUUGAAUUUUGGUACAGUUUGUACAGGAUAGGCGGGAGCCUUUGAAACCGGAGCGCUAGCUUCGGUGGAGGCGCUGGUGGGAUACCGCCCUGACUGUAUUGAAAUUCUAACCUACGGGUCUUAUCGACCCGGGAGACAGUGUCAGGUGGGCAGUUUGACUGGGGCGGUCGCCUCCUAAAGUGUAACGGAGGCGCCCAAAGGUUCCCUCAGAAUGGUUGGAAAUCAUUCGUAGAGUGCAAAGGCAUAAGGGAGCUUGACUGCGAGACCUACAAGUCGAGCAGGGACGAAAGUCGGGCUUAGUGAUCCGGUGGUUCCGCAUGGAAGGGCCAUCGCUCAACGGAUAAAAGCUACCCCGGGGAUAACAGGCUUAUCUCCCCCAAGAGUCCACAUCGACGGGGAGGUUUGGCACCUCGAUGUCGGCUCAUCGCAUCCUGGGGCUGUAGUCGGUCCCAAGGGUUGGGCUGUUCGCCCAUUAAAGCGGUACGCGAGCUGGGUUCAGAACGUCGUGAGACAGUUCGGUCCCUAUCCGUCGUGGGCGUAGGAAAUUUGAGAGGAGCUGUCCUUAGUACGAGAGGACCGGGAUGGACGCACCGCUGGUGUACCAGUUGUUCUGCCAAGGGCAUAGCUGGGUAGCUAUGUGCGGAAGGGAUAAGUGCUGAAAGCAUCUAAGCAUGAAGCCCCCCUCAAGAUGAGAUUUCCCAUAGCGUAGGCUAGUAAGAUCCCUGAAAGAUGAUCAGGUUGAUAGGUUCGAGGUGGAAGCAUGGUGACAUGUGGAGCUGACGAAUACUAAUAGAUCGAGGACUUAACCAU